rnacentral:rRNA from 1 species
UACGAAGGGGGCUAGCGUUGCUCGGAAUCACUGGGCGUAAAGCGCACGUAGGCGGAUUGCUAAGUCAGGGGUGAAAUCCUGGAGCUCAACUCCAGAACUGCCUUUGAUACUGAGGAUCUUGAGUUCGGGAGAGGUGAGUGGAACUGCGAGUGUAGAGGUGAAAUUCGUAGAUAUUCGCAAGAACACCAGUGGCGAAGGCGGCUCACUGGCCCGAUACUGACGCUGAGGCACGAAAGCGUGG